UGUUUCUAUGUGUCCUGCAACGGGAUGGGAUCAGAAGACUCCUGAAGAUUCCAUCCAACUCCCAUUUCAACACGUCCACGUCGUGCAGGGUGGUAACAUGGGCCUAAAUCUAACCUAACCUUUUGGGCGGGUGACAGCUCAUGGCUAAGGAGGAACGG
rnacentral:ribozyme from 1 species